AAUAUCUUUUGUUUGUUUGUAUUUGUGACUGUAAAUGGGUGUUAACAGGGCAUAAACAUAUUUAAUCCUUAUCUUAAACUUCUCCAAAGUCUCCCCUAACAAUAUAGGCUUCAUAAAUGCAUAAUUUUUUGAGAUAUCAUAUCAUCCUCUGAUUUGAAAUGAAGCAUGACCAUUGGUUAUAAGUUGCAAUAGUAUUCACACUUUUCUAUAAAUAUUAACAUAUACAUUUAAUAAAUAUAUUCUUAAUGUUGGUUGUUUUUAUCUUUUAGCUUAACGUUAUAUACUUCAAUAUUAAUAACAUUUGAUUAAUCAUGAGUUUUGAAUUUGAGCCAAAACUCUCAAGCUUUCUAAGUAUGUUUUGAUUAAUGUAUCUAUUCAGAAUGAAGAAACCUUUUUAUUAUGUGUAGGUUAUGUGUGCAUUACUUUCCAAAAUUGGGGCUGCCUGGUUAACUCAUAAAUACGUAACAUGGGAUUUUUAUUUUACAAAAAUCAGUGUUUUUAUAUGUAUAUAUAUAUUUUCGAAAGCAGGAGAGAUAAAUGUGCAAGUUUCCAGAGCUGUUUCUGAGCUGCAAGGCGAAAUCAAAACGCCGUCAGAGUGGGCGGGGUUUAGGCAGUCAAAGCUAGAGUCUGUUAGAAAAAAGCGCGAAAGAAGCAUUUGAAUUUCUGUUUCGUCGUCAGUGACAGAAAAGCUAAGUUAAUAGUCGAAUUUACGUUUUCGUAACAGCCUUUAACGUUAAGCUCCGUUAAUAAGUCUAGUAUUUUUCAAAUGUGCGUUUCUUUAUACACGGCUUUGUCUUGUGGUUGUAACGUUAUUUAUUUUGUUUUCGUCUUUGUGUUGAUAUCUUUCACUUUUUGCCUGAGAGGAAUUCAGCGAAAACGUUUCCGUGAGAGCGCCGACGGAGACGUUUUUACAGCCUUUAAACGUUAUUAAUAUUAGUUAGCCAACAGUUUACCUAGUUAUCGGUAGCUAGCUAGCCAGGAGAAUAUUUUUCCCCCACCCGUUGCCUCAGCCGGAGUUUCCAUCUUGGGAUCGCGGAUCCUUCACCAACUGCUAAUGGGGAUUCGGGACUUCCAGAAAAUCAGAGACUAACGGUAGCUACCACUCCCUCAGAUGUAGAAGAGGCCCAGCUGUCUCCUCCCUAUCACUCCAAGGAUUAUCAUGCUUGGAGAGACUGCAAAAAAAUGGAUGCUGUCGAUCAAGGGGAGGGUCGUAACCCCACCUGGUGCUCACAUGGUGGACUUCACCACUGCCUUGGCCGCUCUCUUCGCCUGUUACGUAUUCAACCUACAGUAUUAGGUGGAAGCCAGCACAACACUGGAGUUUGAUCAGAGGGCUCCAAAUAGGAUUCUCUGUCUCCAAGGUCAAGGCAUGCAAGAGGCCAUAGACCUUUGCCAAGUGGCAGGGGAAGUUUAUUUUCCUUUCUGUUUUAAAUGUUCAUGCAAAUGUUAAAUAUAUAUUUUUUUAAUGUUCAAUGUUUUAUUUUAUUUCAAUAUUGCCAUAAUGUUAUUUAUUGCUCUUUAGAAUGGGGUAAUCAGUUAUUUGCACAACUUCAAAGUAGUUAAAUUUUUUGACUGUAUUGUAUCAAUUUGCAUUAUUGUUCCAUUAUAGCAACUAGUCAUACGGAACUAGUGAAUGAACUAGUAACAGUUUGCUCUGUAACUUUACAAAUCUUGUAAUGAAAUAGGCUCGUUGUAUCAAUUUGUAUUAGCCUAUUGUUCCGUCAUAGCAACCUGUCAUACAGAACUAUUGAAUGAACUAAUAACAAUUUGCU